AUUGAACGCUAGCGGGAUGCUUUACACAUGCAAGUCGAACGGCAGCGCGGACUUCGGUCUGGCGGCGAGUGGCGAACGGGUGAGUAAUGUAUCGGAACGUGCCCAGUAGCGGGGGAUAACUACGCGAAAGCGUAGCUAAUACCGCAUACGCCCUACGGGGGAAAGCAGGGGAUCGUAAGACCUUGCACUAUUGGAGCGGCCGAUAUCGGAUUAGCUAGUUGGUGAGGUAACGGCUCACCAAGGCGACGAUCCGUAGCUGGUUUGAGAGGACGACCAGCCACACUGGGACUGAGACACGGCCCAGACUCCUACGGGAGGCAGCAGUGGGGAAUUUUGGACAAUGGGGGCAACCCUGAUCCAGCCAUCCCGCGUGUGCGAUGAAGGCCUUCGGGUUAUAAAGCACUUUUGGCAGGAAAGAAACGUCGCGGGCUAAUACCCCGUGGAACUGACGGUACCUGCAGAAUAAGCACCGGCUAACUACGUG
rnacentral:rRNA from 1 species